rnacentral:rRNA from 1 species
AUUGAACGCUGGCGGCAUGCUUUACACAUGCAAGUCGAACGGCAGCGCGGGCUUCGGCCUGGCGGCGAGUGGCGAACGGGUGAGUAAUGCAUCGGAACGUGCCCAGUAGUGGGGGAAAGCCCGGCAAAAGCGGGUUAAAUACCCCAUACGACCUGAGGGUGAAAGGGGGGGACCGAAAGGCCUCGCGUCUUGGUGGCGGCGGAGGUCGGUUUAGCUAGUGGGUGGGGUAAAGGCUUACCAAGGCGACGAUCCGUAGCUGGUCUGAGAGGACGACCAGCCACACUGGGACUGAGACACGGCCCAGACUCCUACGGGAGGCAGCAGUGGGGAAUUUUGGACAAUGGGGGCAACCCUGAUCCAGCCAUGCCGCGUGCGGGAAGAAGGCCUUCGGGUUGUAAACCGCUUUUGUUCGGGAAGAAAUCCUCUGGGCUAAUACCCCGGGGGGAUGACGGUACCGGAAGAAUAAGCACCGGCUAACUACGUG